GUAGGUGGCAAGCGUUGUCCGGAUUUAUUGGGUUUAAAGGGUGCGUAGGCGGUUCCAUAAGUCAGUGGUGAAAUACGGCAGCUCAACUGUCGAGGUGCCAUUGAUACUGCGGAACUUGAGUACUGAUGAGGUAGGCGGAAUUGACGGUGUAGCGGUGAAAUGCUUAGAUAUCGUCAAGAACACCGAUAGCGAAGGCAGCUUACCAAGCAGUAACUGACGCUGAGGCACGAAAGUGCGGGGAUCAAACAGGAUUAGAUACCCUGGUAGUCCGCACAGUAAACGAUGAUUACUCGAUGUUGGCGAUACACAGCCAGCGUCUUAGCGAAAGCGAUAAGUAAUCCACCUGGGGAGUACGCCCGCAAGGGUG
rnacentral:rRNA from 1 species